rnacentral:rRNA from 1 species
UACGUAGGGUGCAAGCGUUGUCCGGAAUUAUUGGGCGCAAAGAGCUCGUAGGCGGUCUGUCGCGUCGGAUGUGAAAACCCAGGGCUCAACCCUGGGCCUGCAUUCGAUACGGGCGGGCUGGAGUUCGGUAGGGGAGACUGGAAUUCCUGGUGUAGCGGUGGAAAUGCGCAGAUAUCAGGAGGAACACCGGUGGCGAAGGCGGGUCUCUGGGCCGAUACUGACGCUGAGGAGCGAAAGCGUGGGAGCGAACAGG